rnacentral:rRNA from 1 species
CGUAGGGUGCGAGCGUUAAUCGGAAUUACUGGGCGUAAAGCGUGCGCAGGCGGCGCCGCAAGUCGAGUGUGAAAUCCCCGAGCUUAACUUGGGAAUUGCGCUCGAAACUACGGUGCUGGAGUGUGGCAGAGGGAGGUGGAAUUCCACGUGUAGCGGUGAAAUGCGUAGAGAUGUGGAGGAACACCGAUGGCGAAGGCAGCCUCCUGGGCCAACACUGACGCUCAUGCACGAAAGCGUGGGGAGCAAACAGGAUUAGAUACCCUGGUAGUCCACGCCCUAAACGAUGAUGACUAGUUGUUGGGGGAGUUAAAUCCCUUAGUAACGCAGCUAACGCGUGAAGUCAUCCGCCUGGGGAGUACGGUCGCAAGAUUA